rnacentral:rRNA from 1 species
AUGUUGCGGACCUUUUCUGAUUGCAUGGCACAGAAGCAUCCGAUAUCUGUGAUCACAGAUGGGGACCUUGCAAUGCAGAGAGCAAUAAGGGUGGUCUGGCCAGACUCAAACCAUAGACUAUGUAUAUGGCACAUUCAGCAGAACAUUGUACGCCAUCUGCAUGAUGACGACGUAAAGGAGGAAUUCAGAUCUUUCAUUUAUGAUACUUCUUCCAUUGAAGAGCAUGAGAUAAAAUGGAUACAAUUCUUACAACGGAAUAAAGCAACCAAUGAGGAGUCUUGGCUGCAUCAGAUGUAUCAGAUGAGAAAGUUGUGGUGUGCUCCAUAUCUUGAGGGGCGUUGUUUCCUAGGAUUGAGCAGCAAUCAGAGGAGUGAGAGCUUGAACUCUGUGCUACAUACGCAUCUUGAGGGUAAGAUGUCGUUGUUUGAAAUGCUAGAGCACUAUGAGCGUUGCCUUGCGUCGCGACGGAUUAACGAAGCUCUCCAUGACGUUGAAGCCUUGCAGUCCGUCCCAUUUACAGAGGAAAAUGCUUCGCCGCUUGAGAAACACGCCGCAACAGUUUUCACACCUAGUGUCUUUAAGAUGGUCUUAUGGAGCAUAGAUGUUGUCAGCAAAUGUCAGAUCAGAGAGAUACUAGAUGGAUCAGAAGAUUCCACUUAUGUUGUGUCCAAGUAG